AGUGAACGCUGGCGGUAGGCCUAACACAUGCAAGUCGAACGGCAGCACAGUAAGAGCUUGCUCUUACGGGUGGCGAGUGGCGGACGGGUGAGGAAUACAUCGGAAUCUACUUUUUCGUGGGGGAUAACGUAGGGAAACUUACGCUAAUACCGCAUACGACCUACGGGUGAAAGCAGGGGAUCUUCGGACCUUGCGCGAUUGAAUGAGCCGAUGUCGGAUUAGCUAGUUGGCGGGGUAAAGGCCCACCAAGGCGACGAUCCGUAGCUGGUCUGAGAGGAUGAUCAGCCACACUGGAACUGAGACACGGCCCAGACUCCUACGGGAGGCAGCAGUGGGGAAUAUUGGACAAUGGGCGCAAGCCUGAUCCAGCCAUACCGCGUGGGUGAAGAAGGCCUUCGGGUUGUAAAGCCCUUUUAUUGGGAAAGAAAAGCAGCAGGUUAAUACCCCGCUGUUCUGACGGUACCCAAAGAAUAAGCACCGGCUAACUUCGUG
rnacentral:rRNA from 1 species